AUACGUAGGGGGCGAGCGUUGUCCGGAAUGAUUGGGCGUAAAGGGCGCGUAGGCGGCGCGGUAAGUCUGGAGUGAAAGUCCUGCUUUCAAGGUGGGAAUUGCUUUGGAUACUGCCGCGCUUGAGUGCAGGAGAGGUUAUCGGAAUUCCCGGUGUAGCGGUGAAAUGCGUAGAGAUCGGGAGGAACACCAGUGGCGAAGGCGGGUAACUGGACUGCAACUGACGCUGAGGCGCGAAAGUGUGGGGAGCAAACAGGAUUAGAUACCCUGGUAGUCCACGCCGUAAACGAUGAGUGCUAGGUGUUGGGGGUCAAACCUCGGUGCCGCAGUUAACACAUUAAGCACUCCGCCUGGGGAGUACGUGCGCAAGCAUGAAACUCAAAGGAAUUGACGGGG
rnacentral:rRNA from 1 species